GACUAAGACAAAUCCUGUGAGAGG
rnacentral:piRNA from 1 species